CCACAAGUACCACCUCCCAGCAGUAAAGAACUGGUGGGAUCACAAACCUGCAAAAGUAUUGGAAAAUGAGCACGCAAAGAUACUGUGGGACUUUCAAAUCCAGACUGACAAAGUUCUGGAACACAACACACCAGACCUCACAGUCGUGGAAAAGAAAAAGGUUUGGAUUAUUGAUGUGGCCAUACCAGGUGACAGUCGGAUUGAUGAAAAACAACAGGAAAAACUCAGCCGCUAUCAGGACCUCCAGAUCAAACUGCAAAGACUCUGGCAAAAACCAGCACAGGUGGUCCCGGUGGUAAUUGGCACACUGGGUGCUAUGCCAAAAGAUCUCGGCCGGCAUUUGGAAGCAAUAAACACUGACAAAAUUACAAUCUGUCAACUUCAAAAGACCACCUUACUGGGAUCUGCACGCAUCAUCCGAAAAUACAUCACACAGUCCUAAACACUUGGGAAGUGUUCGACUUGUGAUUUUGUGAUAUGAAAUGCAGCAUAUCUAUCUUGUUUGCUGUGUCAUACUAUGUUGUUGUGUCAACAACAACAACAACAACAAUAAUAAACUUUAUUUAUAACCCGUCCUUUCUCCCCAGAGGGACUCAAAUCAAAACAGUUACUUAAAAUUAUUUCUGAACUCCUCCUCCAAUAAGGUCAUUUGCAACCUCAGCUAGAAUUUAUCUUCAUUGGAUAUCUACAUGGCAACCAAACCCAAAGAUAUGGAUAUGGUGUGGCAUAGACCACAGUCUUUGGUAUGGAACUGGUGUGCUCUCUUCCAUUCUCAAUUGAGCAAGUUAGGUUUAUAAACACACCAUAGCUAAACCUCCGGCGAUUAAUUAUCCUCUUUUCAUUCUGUGCAAAUUGCAAGGUUCACAGAAUUAUUGUAAGACAAGAAAAAUAAGAUGUCAUGCCCCAUUGCACAGGAAAUGAUCAAAAUUCUUGGGGGAUACAUGCCUUUCUGUGUUUCUUAAAAAUAUCUCUUAUCCAUGUAGUUGGGAAGAGAAGGCUAAUCUGUAGUCUAGUCUGUAAAACACUCUUGUAUAUGUGUGGAGCUAUGGAGAAGUGAGGAACAGGGACUGUGUUGCUAUAGCAAUGAUAUUAUUUUGCAAUGUGAGGUCAAACUGCUUUUCAAAAGUCACAAGAUAUGCUUCCCCUGAAUUCACAGGUGUAGAAAACUCUUGUGUGUUGCUUAUUUACAGUUCACAAAUGGUGUGUGAAAUAUUGCCAGGAGCAAUUCUACCAACUUAUAUUGAUUUGCAGAACAAGCUGGAGCUAUUCUAUUUCUCUAAAAUAUCAGUUUGUAACUUGAUUUGUGAGUGUCCAGUCUACAAAGGAAAAAAAGAAAAAAAAGAAGCAAAACAGGUAAGAACAGGCACAGGAGGCAUGGUAGGAGAAGAUCAGAAAAAUUUCCAAUUGGAAUCACAGGACAAAUCAAUGUCAACUUUUAAUGUGCAUCAAGGAAAUUCUCAGUGGAUUUCUUCAAAAUGUAAUUUUUAUGUUGAGCCUUAAUGAUACAUUUUCUGUGAUGUUUCCAAAGAGGGGCUAGUGGACUUUGUUUUAACUUGCACCUCACAAUUAUGUGAACAAUUUUCCCCCUAUGUACCUAAUUCCAAUUUAUGAUGACCCUCUCAUAGCAUUUUCUUGGCAAGAUAUCUUCAGAAGAGAUUUGCCAUUGAUCAGGGAUUAUGACUUGUCCAUGGUCCCACCCAGUGGGGUUCCUUGACUGAGCAGGGAUUUGAACCCCAGUCUCUCAGAGUUCCUACUCUCAACUACACCAUGCUGUCUCUUCUGGUAAGUUUUAUAGGAGGUUAAUUUGUUCAAGUUGUUCAACAACUUAUAAUGACAAUAUUCAUUUGUCUGAGUGUUUUUUUCUAAGUUAAAAUAAAUGGUGUUUUCUUCUAAACAUCUUAAAAUUCAGCUGUACUUUUUCCUUUAGCUGUAUGGGCUGGUCCUUAUUCUUUAGAGAGUCAGUACUGAUAAAUAUGAUGAGCAACAAAAGGUUCCUAUGUGAAGUUGUCCUAUUUAAGAUGCCAGCCUAUUUGUUUCCCUCUCUUCCAGAACCUAAACUAGCUUCCACAGAGAUUCACAUGUCCUAUCAACAAAGCAUGCCAUGUCCUUUGGGGAAUUGUUGGGAAGAAGAGGUAGGAUCCAUCUAUAAGACAUAAGGUUUUUCUGUAUACCUUGACGUUCUCUUUCUUUUUCUCUCUUAAUAGGUCUGGAGAUUGGACAUGGAGCAAUGGAUUUAGAUUGCAGGAAAAAAUCCCAUCUAAAAUUUAGGAAGAACCUUUUGAUGUGUUCUACUGAGAAUGCAACUGUCCAUCACAAUGCUCUACAUCUAUUGCCUAUCAAAUGAGCUGGAAGUACAAAAACAAAUUAUUAGGAGAAUUCUAGAUAAUUAUGAGCUUCUGUGCCAAGUAAUCAAACAUUGUCACUGCUUCUAGCAACUGCCUUUGGAGUUGUCAUAAGAUGGGCCCACCUGCAGUUUUUUACAUAUAUCAUUCUCACCACCGUUGCUGCAAGUCGGGGUCAAAAAGAACAAACAAGGAAAAGCGCUAGAUUAGCAGCCAGGCAGAAUGUUAAUUAGCUAAGUUCUCCUGGGAAUUUGCAGGGAGGAUCGCAGCUGCAGGAAGAUGUGUUUCGCUUCUCUUUCCCUUGGGAAAGGAAGCUCCGGACACCUGCUCUGCAGGAGGAUUGGACUUCUUAAAAGUUCCCCGCACCGGGGAAUCUGUGCGGAGUCAACAGAUCAGCUUCAGGAUUAACUUCGGUUCCAGCCUAGUGUGGACUGCGUUUUAAGUCUGCAACUCCAGUUUCCUUGCCUUGCCUUGCCUUGUCAAGUUUUCAUGAACUAUCUCGUCGUGUUUCCAGCCUUGGAUUUUGUCUCAAGUAUCUAGCCUUGUCUCCAGUUCUUGCUUUGGACUUACUUUGAACCUUAGAAACACUUUGGACGUUUCCCCACUCUACGGCUUGGAAGUAGAGUGUGUUUCGAUUUUGGGAUUACAACUUUGAACUCUAAUAUUAUAUAUUGGACAAUAUAUUUCUGGACUAUAUAUGACCUUCUCUGAAAGGUCUAUUGCUGGACUACAUUUUCUACUUGUUUUUAUUCUACUAUAAUAUUUCUUUAAUAAAGAUAUUAGAUUGUA